AUUUUCUCUAACACCACGUCAUUGCAUUUUCGUAGGAUUUCUUUCUCUUCUCUUAGUCAAUCUCCAUUUGUCCACGCUUCCUCCCAUACCUCUUCCCAGACAAUCAUUUGUACCGUGCAAAUCUUCUCUUUACUUCCUUUCUCUUUUCUAUUUCUUUCUCCCACGAUUUUCUGUUUAAUUUCACCAAAGUUUUUCAUUAUUCUUUUGCUCGAACGCUAAGAGUGAAUGACCUCUUGGGAAUACUUUCAUUUGUUAGCUACUGAAGCGAAGUAAUCUGAAUCUUUAAUGUCUGGUCGUGAAAUGAAAUAAUACAAAAUGAAAGAUUGGUUCCCAUUUCUUGGAAGCUUCAAAACGUCGUGGUUGUCAGUCUCGAUUUUUGGAUUUACUAUCGUACUCCCUGCCUGCCUAUAUUUUUUGACAACUCGAGCUAAUUUUUCUUUUCAAAUGAGAAUAGAAAGUUCUGAUUUUCCGUUUGGAUUCUAAUUAUAUGCACUUUCUGAUUGAUUGAUUCUGGUAUUUAAAUAAAUGUUUUAUAUUUCAUGCUCAAUCAAGGAUGAUUCCUUGGCCUUUGCGGUUUGGUAUUUCCAAUUUUAGUAUAUUAGUCUGGAAUAUUUUAUGUAAUUGUUUUAUCUUUCAGGAUAAUGCUGUUGAAAUUUCAUUUUCAGCAUAAAAAUGGGACAUUGCUUAGCUAAGAUACAUUUAUUUUAUAGCUUUUAGUCAUGUGGGUCUGGUUAUAAUUUAAUUGAGAUUGUUUGGUUUGCUUUAUAUUGUAAAAAGUCUGAAUCUUUAGAUGUCAUAGUGCUCUAAAUUCAACUGAUUUGGUGAAUAGUAUAACCGUAUUCAAUGUUGCUUACUCUUGUGCUUGGGGUUGAUGAUGAGUUUUUAGUAUACAUCUUACUUUUCUAUUUUUAGAUUUUGCAUUUUUAGUCUCUCUUUCUUCCGAUUAAUUUCUACCUACUGUCAUCAUUUAAUAAAUUACUUUCUAUUGUUUCCCUGUGUAAUGUCAACACCUCUUUAGGAAAUGUAAGAUGUUAUUUUGUAGAUUCUUUAUCAAAUCUACCUUUAUAGUACAAUUCUGCUGCUUAUGCUAUUAGUUCUUCAUGUAGCUAAUGGUAGUGAGGUUUUUUGAACUGAGACUUCUGUAGCUAGAAUGUAAAUAAAAUGAGUGUAACCUGAGUAGAAGAAUUUGUUUAGUUAGAUGAAUGAAAAGUUGGUGAUAUUGAUGACUUAUUGCUUCAUUGAAGUAAAAAACGGUUGACAUAUGUUAUAGAAGGAUAUUUUGCAAUUGGGAUUGGAGUUUGAAUAGAAGUUAGCAGAAUUGGAAGAGUUUAUGUUGGUAUACUUAUAUGGCCUCAGAACUGACCUCUCUAUAGUACAAAAUUUGAGCUAAUUAUACAAUAAGAAAAAUUGGGUUCUUUUGGGUAUUUUUACUUAAUGAUUUGAUCUUUAAAACUCUUAGCCGUCUUUUGCAAAUUUUUUUGACAGAAUGCUUUGUGAAUGCAUUUCACUUAAUUUGAUGAGCCAACAUAAUUCUGACAUUAUGUUAAUAAGAUCUCAUUAAAUAAAAAUGGCCAUUACGUGUAAUACGACAUAUUUUAUUGUUCUCGUGUCGAUUCUUUUAUAUAUAUGAAAUCAUUGGCAUAGUCAGCUAGAGUUCUUUGUAGAUAUUUUUUCUCCUUUUAACAGCAUUGAUUGUGGAUACGAUGUAGAUAUGGUUGGAUCAUAGUGUUGAAGAAAUUUCAUUGCUAGAUUUUGAAUAUAGGUCAUAACGCUUACUUUUGUUAAAUUGAUUUAGGAUUCAUGAUGAGUAAAAUGAUUGCAAGCAAUUUUGAUUUGUUUCAUAGCAUAUGUAGUGUUAUUGGAUGGUGAAAACAUGAUGAUUUAUGAUAGGUACGAUAAAGAGGGACUUAAGCAGCAUGUUGCUAGCGGUGGUGGUACUGGUAGGUAUGGUUGAAUGAAUUUUCAAGAUAUUUUUAGCUUGUAACUUUAUGCCUGCCUUACAUGAAUUGUACAUUUUCAUUUCUACCUUUCAUGUUUACUUAUUAUCUAACAUUUGUUUUAUUUUCUUAUGUAUGAACACCCCAUAACUAAAUCCAUUAGGAUUUGGAUCUCUAAUUUGCUUGUGUUAUUUCUACUUUAAAGUUGCACUGAAUUUUUACAUUUUAUUCAUUUUGAAUAAAGUCGUUACAGAAGUUUGGUUUUAGUAUUUCUAAUUAACAUAUAUAAUAAAAUCGUACAUUUGAACUUCGUUCAAUUUUAUAUCAUCUUCAUUUGAAGAAUGACAUUCUUCUGGUUAAAACUAUUCCAAGUAAGUAAACUGUUUAAAUAAUUAUACUUUUAUAAAAACCUCUUGCCUACAUUUUGCCAUAAUGGCUGCAUUUCAUAUGAACUUCCCCAGGGUAUCAAAAGACUUUCAUAUCAGUUCUUUGCUUUUUUCUUCUAUUGUCCUCUCCAAAAAAAAAAGGAUUGAGAAUGCUUUAAAAGAUUUUUUAAAUUUUUUUGAUUAAUUUUUCAUAAAAUCUGCAAAUAAAACUUGCUCAAGUUACUUUUGAAUAUGAAUAACACAUUGCAACUGAAUUUGGGGGAGUGGAUUAAUUACUGUCCUAUAAUCUUUUGUGAUAUAUUUGUUCUUACAACACAUUUUUUUAUACUAUCAACUCCUACCACUUUAAAGCAAUUUUAUUGUUUUAUUGGCACGCAAUAUUUGUGAUGACUCAAUUUGUCUUUGCAGAGCUCAUUGAGCUUGACCCUAUUCAUGCAACUGACUUUCGAGUUCCCUCUGGUAAAACAUUUUUUCAUAGUCAUAGCUAACCUAUAUGUUUUUUGACAUAGUUUUCACAUGAUGGAUGAUAUAAUUCUAUGCUGAGAAAGGCGAUGGUGUGGCACAUUAUAUAAUUUUCAUUUAUAUAGUUGUUCAAACUCCUUUUUAUUUUGUUUCCUAUCUUAUGGAAAACUUAUUGUUGGACUAUAUCAGAUUGUACUAGCGACAAAGCUUGCUACUAAACCUGGGAGGCCACAAUCAAGACACUUUCAUAUGUUCAAGGAAGGUGUGUUUCAUUCUUACAUGUAAGUGAAGACACUUUCAUAUGUUCAAGGAUGGUGUAUUUCAUUCUUACAUGUACGUUGCAACAAAGAAAAACAUAUAGUGCUAAAGACAUCGACAAAAUUACUAAAUAAAACUUUGAAACUAUUUCUACAAAUUCUCCUGCCUCCUUGGAUGUGAUGAGAGUAGCUAAAUAUUUUACGUUGUACCAUAUGAUUUUCUAUUUAAUUUAAACAUAUUGGUGUUUCAAUGGCAUCUGGAUAUGUAAAUUAUUAUCCUUUUAUUUUCUAUUUAAUAGAAAUUGG
rnacentral:lncRNA from 1 species